rnacentral:misc_RNA from 1 species
GGUGGUUGAGAUGUUGCUUGAGUUCUGCAAGCAAAGUGAGAGUUUGCUUAGUUUUGUUUCUAGGAGGGUAAUCUCAUUGGUUGGUUUAUUAGAGAUUCUGGUAAGGUCAGAGAGGUUCUUGAGUGAAGGUGUUGCAAGGAAACUUAAUGAGCUGCUUCUGAAGUUAUUGGGAGAACCUAUCUUCAAGUAUGAGUUUGGGAAAGUAUUUUUAAGUUAUUACCCAUUAGUUGUACACGAAGUCAUAAAAGAAGGCACUAAUGAUACUCUCAAGAAAUAUCCGCUGCUACCUACAUUCUCUGUGCAGAUCUUUA